UGAGGGAAUAUUUGGGGUCAAUGGACGCAAGUCUGAACCAGCCAAGUCGCGUGCAGGAAUAAGGCCCUAUGGGUCGCAGACUGCCUUUGCAUGAGAAUAAAAGUGGGACGAGUCCCACCCUGUAGGUAUCAUGCGAAUAAGGAUCGGCUAACUCCGUGCCAGCAGCCGCGGUAAUACGGAGGAUCCGAGCGUUAUCCGGAUUCAUUGGGUUUAAAGGGUGCGCAGGCGGGUCUGUAAGCCCGUGGUGAAAGCCUGGUGCUCAACGCCAGAGGUGCCGCGGGAACUGCAGGUCUUGAGUCGUGACGAGGGCGGCGGAAUGCGAAGUGUAGCGGUGAAAUGCUUAGAUAUGACGAAGAACUCCGAUUGGGAAGCCAGCUUACUGUAGCGCCACUGACGCUGAUGCUCGAAAGUGCGG
rnacentral:rRNA from 1 species